rnacentral:rRNA from 1 species
UACGGAAGGUCCGGGCGUUAUCCGGAUUUAUUGGGUUUAAAGGGAGCGUAGGCCGGAGAUUAAGCGUGUUGUGAAAUGUAGACGCUCAACGUCUGCACUGCAGCGCGAACUGGUUUCCUUGAGUACGCACAAAGUGGGCGGAAUUCGUGGUGUAGCGGUGAAAUGCUUAGAUAUCACGAAGAACUCCGAUUGCGAAGGCAGCUCACUGGAGCGCAACUGACGCUGAAGCUCGAAAGUGCGGGUAUCGAACAGGAUUAGAAACCUAGUCCGGCUGACUGACU